rnacentral:rRNA from 1 species
ACAGAGGUCCCAAGCGUUGUUCGGAUUCACUGGGCGUAAAGGGUGCGUAGGCGGUCGGGUAAGUCUGACGUGAAAUCUCCGGGCCUAACCCGGAAACUGCGUUGGAUACUAUCCGGCUAGAGGAAUGGAGGGGAGACUGGAAUACUUGGUGUAGCAGUGAAAUGCGUAGAUAUCAAGUGGAACACCAGUGGCGAAGGCGAGUCUCUGGACAUUUCCUGACGCUGAGGCACGAAAGCCAGGGGAGCAAACGGGAUUAGAUACCCCGGUAGUCCUGGCCCUAAACGGUGCACGUUUGCUGUAAGCGGAAUCGACCCCGCUUGUGGCGUAGGUAACACGAUAAACGUGCCGCCUGGGAAGUACGGCCGCAAGGUUA